rnacentral:rRNA from 1 species
UCAGGAUGAACGCUAGCGGCAGGCUAACACAUGCAAGUCGAGGGCGAUCGGGAGUAGCAAUACUUGCCGGCGACCGGCGCAAGGGUGCGUAACGCGUGAGCAACAUGCCCGUAUCAGGGGGAUAAUCCAUGGAAACGUGGUCUAAUACCCCAUAGUAAUUAAUGUAAGGCAUCUUAUAUAAUUUAAAGCUUUGGUGGAUACGGAUUGGCUCGCGUGACAUUAGCUAGAUGGUAAGGUAACGGCUUACCAUGGCUACGAUGUCUAGGGGUUCUGAGAGGAAGGUCCCCCACACUGGAACUGAGACACGGUCCAGACUCCUACGGGAGGCAGCAGUGAGGAAUAUUGGACAAUGGAUGGAAAUCUGAUCCAGCCAUGCCGCGUGCAGGAAGACGGCCCUAUGGGUUGUAAACUGCUUUUGUAUGGGAGCAAUAAGGGCUACGCGUAGUCCGAUGAGAGUACCAUACGAAUAAGCACCGGCUAACUCCGUGCCAGCAGCGGC